UACGAAGGGGGCUAGCGUUGUUCGGAAUCACUGGGCGUAAAGCGCACGUAGGCGGAUCUUUAAGUCAGGGGUGAAAUCCUGGAGCUCAACUCCAGAACUGCCUUUGAUACUGAGGAUCUUGAGUCCGGGAGAGGUGAGUGGAACUGCGAGUGUAGAGGUGAAAUUCGUAGAUAUUCGCAAGAACACCAGUGGCGAAGGCGGCUCACUGGCCCGGUACUGACGCUGAGGCACGAAAGCGUGGGGAGCAAACAGG
rnacentral:rRNA from 1 species